GGCGGGGAAGUAUCCGAAAAGCGAUUGGUUAGUCUUCAAAAACGGUCAAACCCAGAGAGUCUGUGCGGAUCCUUACCAUUCUGCGAGGACCCUGUCCCUUUCCUUUUGACCUCUAAGCCUUGCAUAAAACAAGCGCCAUGAAGGAAUCAACGGGCUGUCCGGUUACAGGUGUGGAGGCCUAGUCCCACCCAGAAUUGCGGGGCGUUGGCUACUGAUUGGCUAACAACGGCCUCCUAGGCCCUCAUUGGAGGAUAUGGACGCCUCUCUUCGACGCAGAGACAAGAAGAGAAGGACCAAUAAGAUUCACAACUUUGAAAAGAAAAAUGUGCCACCACUACAAGGCUGGGGCUUCCUCCCAACCUGACUUCCUCCUAAGACAGGAAGUUGAUCAAGCUAUCACCAUCCUGCAUGCAAUCCACACAGCCCAAAAGACCAACGCUGGUUUCCUCAGAGCCAGAUCCUCCUUUGUGUUUUAAAGUGAGUGUCAUGCACAUGAGAUGAGAUGAUUAAGAUUAUGAUUACAACACAGUGGGUGGUAUUAGAAAAAGUAUUCACAUGGAGCCCAGCUAUAAAUGCCAUAAAACUACAAAAUGUUUAAAUGUGCUUGGCUGUGGAAAACUC